CCUACGGGUGGCAGCAGUGAGGAAUAUUGGUCAAUGGGCGCGAGCCUGAACCAGCCAAGUAGCGUGAAUGAUGACUGCCCUACGGGUUGUAAACUUCUUUUAUAAAGGAAUAAAGUGAUGCACGUGUGCGUUUUUGUAGGUACCUUAUGAAUAAGGAUCGGCUAACUCCGUGCCAGCAGCCGCGGUAAUACGGAGGAUCCGAGCGUUAUCCGGAUUUUUUGGGGUUAAAGGGGGGGUAGAUGGGUUGUUAAGUCAGUUGUGAAAGUUUGGGGCUCAACCGUAAAAGUGCAAUUGAUACUGGCAGCCUUGAGUGCAGUUGAGGUAGGCGGAAUUCGUGGUGUAGCGGUGAAAUGCUUAGAUAUCACGAAGAACUCCGAUUGCGAAGGCAGCUUACUGGACUGCCUCUGACGUUGAUGCUCGAAAGUGUGGGUAUCAAACAGGAUUAGAUACCCUGGUAGUC
rnacentral:rRNA from 1 species